UACGUAGGGGGGCUAGCGUUGUCCGGAUUUAUUGGGCGUAAAGAGCGUGUAGGCGGCCAGGUAGGUCUGCUGUGAAAACUCGAGGCUUAACCUCGAGAUGUCGGCGGAAACCAUCUGGCUAGAGUCCGGAAGAGGAGAGUGGAAUUCCUGGUGUAGCGGUGAAAUGCGCAGAUAUCAGGAGGAACACCGAUGGCGAAGGCAGGUCUCUGGGCAUUAACUGACGCUGAGGCGCGAAAGCUAGGGGUAGCAAACGGG
rnacentral:rRNA from 1 species